rnacentral:lncRNA from 1 species
CCUUCCUCACCUCCCAAGCUGCUUGGAUUACAGGUGUGUGCCACCGUGCCUGGCUGCAUAUAUGUUUACAGUUGUAAUAUUUUUAGACACAUGGACUCUUGUACCAUUAUAAAAUGUUCUUUGUUAUCUCUAGAAGCAUAGAAUCUCUCCCCUACAAAUGAGCUGGGGCUAGGGUAAUUGGGUCCCCAUUAUUCUUGGCCCUCAAAUCUAGUAUGGAAAUUCUACCCUAGGAGUGGAGGCUGAAUGGAGGAGGUUGAUCCUCCCUACAGAAUCAACCCCAAAAGAACUUCUGAAACACAGGGCUGGGGAGGGAAACAAGAAAGGUCAAGAGUCUGUCUCUUCCCCAGACAGGGAGCUAGGCAGGGAGGGAGGCUCUUCUUGGCCUCACUAGCUUAGGGUAGUGUUUCCAAAACAUGGAACUGGGAGUGGUGGUUGAAGUUCAAAUGUCACAGGCUUCUGUUGUUCUAAUGACACUUAGUAGUUUUUUUCUUGAGUGACUAUUACUCCCUUGGUCUUAUACCCUUAGGAUAAUUUCCAGAGAGCUUAAAUAAUUAUAAAAAAUAAUUUCCACCCCAUUCUUGCUUUGUUGGAGACAGUCUGCCACAUUCCUCCCUCUGCCUUUUGGGCAGCCCUGUCCCUCCAGGACAAAUGGCAAAAGAGAUAAAUAUGACUAAGUAGAGCCAGUUCAUGUUGAGCACCACCUAGAAAUUCCUGACUGUUGAGAUUGCCAUGACAAGAAAUAAGGAAAAACAAGACAUAAUCCCUGGCAGCACCAAAUUAUAAAGAAAUAGAGCUGGUUGCUGAGUGGCCACAUAUUUGCCUUCUACUUCUCUGAGAGAUCAAUCUCAUUACUCAGCAACUCAAAAUUAUGGCAGCAAUAAAAGCGCAAUUGCAUUUGUGUGAAGGCCUAACCCAGCCCAGUGCUCCGGAUUCCUUAUACGCUCUGUGGGCAAAAGCCAAGUCAGGAGCCUGGUUAGUAAGGGACGGUAGAUAUAAAAAAAAAAUUUCUAAUUAUGUAGUCAAGAGAGAAAGUGGAACCUGGUGGAAAUGAAGAAAUGCCAUUCCCACCCUGGGUGACUCCUGUCAGAAGAGGAGCUUGGUGGCAGUGUGCUGAGGGAGGCUGAGGUGUCAGAUCCAGAGGCCGGACGUGUUUACUGGGCAAGGGUGUUAACUUGGUGUUGUAAUGAUCAGAAGUCCAAGGACACCCCACAGCCAGGCAAGGAUGGGCCAGGAAAGGAUGGCAGUGGGGUGGGUAGUUAGUCUUGGCAGAUGGUUAGCUGCAGCAGAUAGAUCCAGCUGACCCCACCCUGCAUAGCCCUGGGGGAACGGAAACCGAGGCACAAGACAGAUCUAGUG